UACGUAGGGGGGCAAGCGUUGUCCGGAUUCAUUUGGGCGUAAAGAGCGUGUAGGCGGCCAGGUAGGUCGGUUGUGAAAACUGGAGGCUCAACCUUCAGAGGUCGACCGAAACCAUCUGGCUAGAGUCCGGGAGAGGAGAGUGGAAUUCCUGGUGUAGCGGUGAAAUGCGUAGAUAUCUGGAGGAAUACCGGUGGCGAAGGCGGCGAUCCUGGACCGGCAUUGACGCUGAGGCGCGAAAGCCAGGGGAGCAAACGGG
rnacentral:rRNA from 1 species